AGUGAACGCUGGCGGUAGGCUUAACACAUGCAAGUCGAACGGCAGCACAGUAAGAGCUUGCUCUUACGGGUGGCGAGUGGCGGACGGGUGAGGAAUAUUUCGGAAUCUACUUUUUCGGGGGGGAUAACGUAGGGAAACUUACGCUAAUACCGCAUACGACCUACGGGUGAAAGCGGGGGAUCUUUGGACCUUGCGGGAUUGAAUGAGCCGCUGUCGGAUUUGCUAGUUGGCGGGGUAAAGGCCCACCAAGGCGACGAUCCGUAGCUGGUCUGAGAGGAUGAUAGGCCACACUGGAACUGGGACACGGUCCAGACUCCUAAGGGAGGCAGCAGUGGGGAAUAGUGGGCAAUGGGCGCAAGCCUGGUCCAGCCAUACCGAGUGGGUGAAGAAGGCCUUCGGGUUGUAAAGACCUUUUGUUGGGAAAGAAAAGCAGCAGGUUAAUACCCCGCUGUUCUGACGGUACCCAAAGAAUAAGCACCGGCUAACUUCGUG
rnacentral:rRNA from 1 species